CCUACCAUCCUUGCAUUUGUCCUUUUCUUUCCUCCUUUCCCCUCUUGAAAUCAGAGAAGAGAUCUCCAUCUCAUCCCCCUUCUUCCCUCUCUCUCUCUCUCUCUCUCUCUCUCUCUCUCUCUCUCUCCCCCCCUUUCUUGCUCUAUAAAUAGCACACCUCACUCAUAGCCUCUGGAUUGAGAGAAGAGAAACCUCUAAUGGAGGUUUUUAGGGUUUUAAGGUUUCUUUUCAUGUGGGUUUGUCAAAGGGUUCCCUACAAAGGUUAUUGGCAUUCUGUCCACCUCCAUCUUUGAAGAUUAACUCUUUUGAAGAUGCAACAUGUUUUGUGGUGGAGGUGGGCAUACUGCCAACAGAUCUCUGUUGGACUCUCUUUGUUAAACCCUUGUGAUGAUUGUUUGUGUGCUAAAGGAUGAAGAAAGGUGACACAAAUGUUGUUGCUCUUUAUUUUAUUUUAUUUUAUUUUUGUUUGUAUGUUUGUGUGUGUUUUUUGUUUUGUUGGUUUGGUUUUUCAUGCAAGUCAUCAUGAAGCGUUAUUAUGAUGCAUUGGGCUGUGCUCAUGGCAUGAUGAAAUCAUGCAUGGCCUUGCCUUUUUGUGUCCUUUUUCCUAACCCUAGUUUUGCAAUUUGAACUCUUUGUUCAUGCUUUCAGAUCAUUUGCUUGCUUGUUUGCUUGCACUGUCUUUUGUGUUGUUAGGGUUUGCUGCUGCUACUGCUGCUACUGCUGCUGUUUCUGAUGCCAGUCUGCAGCAAAUGUACAGAAAAGAAAUGAUGAGGAGGAAGUAAUGAUCAUUUACAUGGAGAGAAUGGUGCAUGGAGAGUGUUAAAUAAAAAGCUGAUCAUUUUGGUUUUGAGUUUCAUUUCAGAUAAAAAUAUAUUGUUAUCUUGUUUUAUAUAUAUAUAUAUAUAUAUAUAUGAAAACAGGAAGCAUUGAUACAGUAAUUUCAAGAAAAAUUGUUUCAGUAAGCAAAAUGGAUGCAAGACGUACUUGAACAUAAAUACUUGUUAUAUCAUUAAAUUUGGAAACAUAACUCAAAACAUGUCAAUGUUUUUGGUUUAUACAUUUUGAUGUGUAUUGUAUAAUUAAUAUAUUUUUAAUGUAGUAUGUUCAUGGAUGAGAUCAAGUUUGUAAUCAGAAGGGUUUUUUAUUAAAGGUCUCUUUUUUA